GCCUGGCUGGCUCAGUCAGUAGAGCAUGUGACUCUUGAUCUUGGGGUUGUGGGUUCAAGCCCCACCCUGGGUG
rfam:Ailuropoda melanoleuca scaffold2319_27, whole genome shotgun sequence.